rnacentral:rRNA from 1 species
GGUCUUAGCUUGCUAAGGCCGAUGGCGACCGGCGCACGGGUGAGUAACACGUAUCCAACCUGCCGUCUACUCUUGGACAGCCUUCUGAAAGGAAGAUUAAUACAAGAUGGCAUCAUGAGUCCGCAUGUUCACAUGAUUAAAGGUAUUCCGGUAGACGAUGGGGAUGCGUUCCAUUAGAUAGUAGGCGGGGUAACGGCCCACCUAGUCUUCGAUGGAUAGGGGUUCUGAGAGGAAAGUCCCCCACAUUGGAACUGAGACACGGUCCAAACUCCUACGGGAGGCAGCAGUGAGGAAUAUUGGUCAAUGGGCGAGAGCCUGAACCAGCCAAGUAGCGUGAAGGAUGACUGCCCUAUGGGUUGUAAACUUCUUUUAUAAAGGAAUAAAGUCGGGUAUGCAUACCCGUUUGCAUGUACUUUAUGAAUAAGGAUCGGCUAACUCCGUGUCAGCAGCCGCGGUAAUACGGAGGAUCCGAGCGUUAUCCGGAUUUAUUGGGUUUAAAGGGAGCGUAGAUGGAUGUUUAAGUCAGUUGUGAAAGUUUGCGGCUCAACCGUAAAAUUGCAGUUGAUACUGGAUAUCUUGAGUGCAGUUGAGGCAGGCGGAAUUCGUGGUGUAGCGGUGAAAUGCUUAGAUAUCACGAAGAACUCCGAUUGCGAAGGCAGCCUGCUA